GAUGAACGCUGGCGGCGUGCUUAACACAUGCAAGUCGAACGGAAAGGCCUUUCUUUUGUUGUUUGCUCGAGUGGCUAUCGUGUUUGUAACACGUGCGUAUCCUUCCCUCGACUUUGGGAUAACCUCAGCAAACUGGGGCUAAUACCGGAUAGGAGCUCCUGCUGCAUGGUGGGGCUUGGCAAGUUUAGGCGGGUGGGGAUGGACUCGCGGCUUAUCAGCUUGGUGGUGGGGUAUUGGCUGACCAAGUCUUUGACGGGUAGCCAGCCUGCGAGGGUUAACGGCAACAUUACGACUGAGAUACGGCACAGACUCAUACGGGAGGCAGCGGUGGGGAGUAUUACACAGUAGGCGGAAGGCAGAUGCAGCGACGCGGCGGGCGGGAAGAAGGGCUGUAGGUUGUAAACCGCUGUCGCCUGAGACGAAGCGUGAAUGACGGUAACGGAUAAAGAAGCACCGGCUAACUACGUG
rnacentral:rRNA from 1 species